rnacentral:rRNA from 1 species
CAGCCGCCACGGGAAUACGGAGGGUGCAAGCGUUAAUCGGAAUUACUGGGCGUAAAGCGCACCCAGGCGGUCUGUCAAGUCAGAUGUGAAAUCCCCGGGCUUAACCUGGGAACUGCAUUUGAAACUGGCAGGCUAGAGUCUUGUAGAGGGGGGUAGAAUUCCAGGUGUAGCGGUGAAAUGCGUAGAGAUCUGGAGGAAUACCGGUGGCGAAGGCGGCCCCCUGGACAAAGACUGACGCUCAGGUGCGAAAGCGUGGGGAGCAAACAGGAUUAGAUACCCCUGUAGUCCCUGUCUCUUAUAC